CAGGACGACAGCUGUAAAGUGACGGUAAUCACAGAUAAGAAUGGACACAGCUUUCCAGAACAAAGAGUGAAAGCAGUGGAGUGAAACUGACCAUCUAUUGGGGGCAAAUCCAUAGAUGGGCGAACCUGGGGAAGUACAUUAUAUGGUCUGCGAUUGUGAUCCACUACAUCCAGGAGAGGAUUCGCUUCCCUUAACAUGUCAAUGGUCACAACGUUCUUGAAACCUACACUGGAGGUAAAGAAGCAUACUUGUGUGCAACUUCCACGAUGGGUCCCUGUCCGGACACCAGCACACACAGGUCAUGGAACUGAGUGAAAACCCGCAGAGGACUGUGGGACAGCACCACCUGGUGUCUCACCUCAACCUCCAGAAGGUGAGACAGCUGCUCGGCCUUGGUCUCUCGCAGAGAGUUUCCCGCAUUUGUCACAAACACCACA